GGUGGUGACGUGGGCGGGGGUGAAAUGCAACCUUUCUCUUCCUGACUGCCUGUCCUCCAAUUCCCCGUUUUCCUCCGACUUUCAGAAGUGGUGAGGUCAUCCCGGCGCAGGAAAAUCAAACUCCUAUUUUUCAGACCCAAUAAAGGCCGGCAUUGUGUGUCUGCGUAAACAGAGGCCAGACGGACAGGGCGGCGGGGGACGCGAGUGGCCCGCCCCCUGGCGGUCGCCGGGGGCAGUGGCGGCCCGAGCUCCACCUCCCGGAACCGCGGCGGAGAGGCGGAGAGGGUGCGUGCUAAAAUGACGCGCAGAUCCAUUACUGCGCGCGGCGGGGGAGCGGAUGCUGCCGGGAGCGGCCGCCGGCCACAUCUCAGUCCCGCGGGCUGGCCGCGGCGUCAUCCAGCCUGCGAUCCGCACGAGGUGGGGAGUGGGAGGACACCUCCCGACCCGGGGCUCCCCCCGCCCCUCCGCUCUCUCCAGAACUCCUUCUCCGGCCUGCCCCCCAAAGGCUCGCUCCCGCCGGGUCUUUACCUCUAUGGGCUCCUUGGUGUUUAAACACAGGCGGCCCCAAACGCAAACAAUCAUCAGGGGCUCUCCUGUCGACGCAGAGCGCACACCGGCCGCUUACACCUUACAGCCUUAGAGGGCUUGACGGGCCCCUUGAAAAAGGUUUCCAGCCCCGCUGCCUAGAGGGCCUGCAUUACUCAGUCCUUGCUCAGGCAAUUGUUGCUGUAAAUAGCUGCGACCUCCCUCCACCCCGCUGCGAGCACGGAUGGGAAUGGAUUUACCGCGAUCUGUCUGAUCACGUUGUAUUUAAGGCCUCGGUGAGAGGGGACCGUGUUCCAUGCAGCCCCCGACGUGCUGGGACAACAGGGCAUUCCCAGGCCCGUUUGCCCCAGUGGGUGGAAGUCGUCUGCCAUGUAUGAAGAAAUGUCCACAGUGGUAUUUCUGUUGAAGUUGCUAAAUGAUUUUCAUUUCUCAAAAGAUGCUCCAGAAAAAAAAAAAAAAAAAAGCAUAAUCUGAUACUGCACCGCCGCCUCAGAAACACAAGAUCAAAUCAUAGUUCUGGGGGAAAACGUAGGCAUUCUAGUCUUAGAAAUGUGUAUAGCAAAUGUUAUAUACGUAUUUAUAUCGUUUUUCUUAAUUUUUGCUUUUCUAUUUUUUACCAUUUCUUUAAAAAGCACGUACUAUAGAGAGCCAAAGAAUUUUAAUAGUAGCUUAAAUGUACAUUAGGUGUAUUUAUAGAAUUAAUGUAUUGUUUGACAUAAAAGGAUUUUGAACUAAA